UAUAUAUGUAGUCACAAAAAGACAAAAAAAAGAGAGGAAACAAAUAUUUAAAAAGAUAUACCACAUACUUGUUCAAUUCCCAGU
rnacentral:ribozyme from 13 species